rnacentral:antisense_RNA from 1 species
CUUCCGCGUCCCCAAACGCCCAGAGCCCGGGACACGGGCCGGCGGCCGGGUCACCAAGCCAGUUCCCGGAAUCGGCUCGCGCCGGAAUCCAUAUGCGGCUUGCAAAGCCCGCUCCUGCCGUCUCUCCGCAGCGCGCCCUGCCCCACGCUGCCGGCCCUCUUAGCUUCAAAACCAAAUUUUGCCUUGAUCCUGAGAGAUUAAUACCCCACAGGUGAAACCGUGGAGACGGAGCUGCGGAGGCGCUGCAAGGCUCAGUGCUCCUGGAGCCUUGAGUCUACG